rnacentral:sRNA from 1 species
GUUUCCAGUUUUCAUUAAGGUGCACAAGCAAUUUCCACCACAAUAUGGGUGUUUGUGAGCUAGGCCUAAACAUAGUGUUCUACCCCCAAUAAUAUAUGAUAGAUGCGUCACAAACUGAAAAGGAAACCCGAGCGACACCCGAUUCCAACCUGUCAAUCUCUGCCAUCUAACAACUCAAAGGAACCCGACUGGUCGGAGUACAUACACAAAACAGUUCAGCGGAGAAUCCACGUUUGAAGAAUAUCCUAUGAGUUCCAAUCUGUUUCUGUGGCUACUCUUCCCCCCUCCCGCGAGCGAGCCGCUUGAUUCCGAACCCUCAGCAUCUUUUCUUAUUUUAUUUUUUUCCAGGAUCCACACCCACAGGGGCGCCAUGCUGUAAUCGACAUAGGAUUCGUUUGCCUCUUUACUUUGAUUCUUCCGUCUCCGCAAUACGCGCAACUUUGGUUACGCGGUUCCAUUGUUAUUCCAGCACGUAUCUGAUCUGGCAUACAAGAACGAUGGUUCCAUCCAGUGUCAUGUAAUUCACAUGGUGAAGAAAGAAAUUUAUCCAAUGAGAAGGCCUGUCAGAGCUAAGAUCAAAAGAAGAUCUGUCGUCAAGGCGAUGGGUGGAUAAUGAUGUGAGAUUGGAGAGUUAUGUUCCUCUGUUCAAAUAGAGUUACGCCUGAGUUCCUAUGGGGAUGCGUCACCGGCG